CUUGUGCUAUUUUCGAGGCCGUAGGUUCACGACGCGAUUUCUGAACCGAGUUUCGCGAGGUUAAAACUGUUCUUCUUCUUCUUUUUCUUCAUCUUCUCCUUCUUCUUCGAGAAAGCAAGAGAGGAGGGGAUAGAGAGUGGAGAUUAAAGGCCGAAGAUUAACGCCGGUCAACAGUAAAACUCAAGCCAGCGUAGACAAGAGCCGCGCUACCUAAGUUCGAAGAGCCCCGCAACGCAGGAACGGCGGCUCCAGCCAUCCAGCGGCUGUCCGACCAAGAGUCAGAAGAAACAAGAAAACCGAGACGGCGGCGGCCUCGAGCGUCGCCUUAUGUAUAGUACACGCAACGACGUGUGUAAAUAUCGAUGCGUCAGCGUUAAUCUUGGAAUAACUUCGAAUGAACGAAGCGCGACUGAUGCUUGCACGGAAGCUACAGCCGGACCGAAGGAGUGCGGAUCGAGUAAACACGCGGUGAAGAGACGGUGACGGGUGAUCGGAUCGUGAUGCCGAUUUUCACUUUUCGAUACACAGGCAUAUGUGUGGUCUUCGACGAGACGAAGCAUGACGCCACCGAUGUGAAGUUCCCCCUUAACCCGGAGGCUUCUCUCGACCUGGAGAUCGGUCACGAAGACGCGCAGCACCCAGCUGCCGUCGACCUCGUGUCCGUCGGAGUACAUCCUGUUUAGCUGACGAUGGCCUGCGAGCCGAGAUAUAUACCUGCGAGCGAGCGAGCGAGUGAGCGAUUCCGGAUUUCAACGUUCGACGCACUUUGCCCGGCUGCCUGCCUUCUUCUCUUCCCUCUUCCCUCUUCCUCUGAGCCUUUGUUACGCUCUUCGAAUCAAAUCUCGCACUAUAAUCAUGGCUGGAAUUUCUCUUCGUGUAAAACUUUAUCGAACGACGAGAACAAAA